rnacentral:rRNA from 1 species
AGUGAACGCUGGCGGUAGGCCUAACACAUGCAAGUCGAACGGCAGCACAGUAAGAGCUUGCUCUUACGGGUGGCGAGUGGCGGACGGGUGCGGAAUACAUCGGAAUCUACUUUUUCGUGGGGGAUAACGCAGGGAAACUUACGCUAAUACCGCAUACGACCUACGGGUGAAAGCAGGGGAUCUUCGGACCUUGCGCGAUUGAAUGAGCCGAUGUCGGAUUAGCUAGUUGGCGGGGUAAAGGCCCACCAAGGCGACGAUCCGUAGCUGGUCUGAGAGGAGGAUAAGCCCCCUGGGAAGUGAGACACGGUCCAGACUCCUAUGGGAGUCAGCAGUGGGGAAUAUUGGACAAUGGGCUCAAGCCUGCUCCAGCCAUACCGCGUGGGUGAAGAAGGCCCCCGGGUUGUAAAGCCCUUUUGUUGGGAAAGAAAAUCAGCAGGUUAAUACCCCGCUGUUCUGACGGUACCCAAAGAAUAAGCACCGGCUAACUUCGCG